GCAUCGCCUCCCCCCCGUCGCCGCUGACAGGGAACACAUCGCCGACCUCCCUCGUGACCGACGGCACCCCCGCGUCCGGCCAGAUUCGACGCCGCCGACAAACCGCCGAACGGACAGAGUUUCCCUUGUACGUCCUAGGCGUCGCAAUCGGUACAAUGUACAUUACAGUAGUUCCAACCAGGAACAGAUAUCAAUCUUGAUUGCGUAAGGAAAGUAUCACAACAUAAUACAUCCUAUGCUAUUACAUACAUUUACACUAGAUUCAUUUAUUUACAUCACACUUUAUAUUACAUUCAACUUCCAAAGCAAUUAAGUUAUUACAUCAUAGAUAUUACAAGUUUAAUACAUUUUAUUCCUUUCAUUUUCUAUACCCCUAA
rnacentral:lncRNA from 1 species